AGUGAACGCUGGCGGUAGGCCUAACACAUGCAAGUCGAACGGCAGCACAGUAAGAGCUUGCUCUUACGGGUGGCGAGUGGCGGACGGGUGAGGAAUACAUCGGAAUCUACUUUUUCGUGGGGGAUAACGUAGGGAAACUUACGCUAAUACCGCAUACGACCUACGGGUGAAAGCAGGGGAUCUUCGGACCUUGCGCGAUUGAAUGAGCCGAUGUCGGAUUAGCUAGUUGGCGGGGUAAAGGCCCACCAAGGCGACGAUCCGUAGCUGGCCUGAGAGGAUGAUCAGCCACACUGGAACUGAGACACGGUCCAGACUCCUACGGGAGGCAGCAGUGGGGAAUAUUGGACAAUGGGCGCAAGCCUGAUCCAGCCAUACCGCGUGGGUGAAGAAGGCCUUCGGGUUGUAAAGCCCUUUUGUUGGGAAAGAAAAGCAGCAGGUUAAUACCCCGCUGUUCUGACGGUACCCAAAGAAUAAGCACCGUCUAACUUCGUG
rnacentral:rRNA from 1 species